UUGGAGAAGCAGGGCACGUGCAGAGACACGCCGGAGCACGGCCGCCGCCGAUCUACCGACCUCCCAAACCUGCCUUAUGGUGUGGGGGUGGAGGUCGUCGGUGGAAGCGAUAGCUGUCGUUGUUGCUUCGAUGUUGUUAGCUCCUCCUGCACGUGCUCCCCUUCUCCACCA